UCUUCCUGUUGUGAAUAGGCUGUUUCCAAUGAUGAGCCACGGUAAACCUGUACGCUGAUGUAAUACCAGCCCUGCUGACUAGAUGUUUUUAAGUGACUUCAUUCAUUUAAACUCGGAGCUAAACAGCGGUCAUGUUAAAUGUUCAGCUGAUUUAAAUAUGCAGUGUUUAAUGUCAGGCGGAGGUGACUCAGUAGAGGCAAUAAUAUCUCCCUGGCAUUCCUUAUGCUCUGAACAGACAGGAUGUAGAGAUAGAGACCUACGUCGGACAGCUAACACCCUACCUGCCCAUUCCCCCGAUUUCCUGAUCAUCAACAUCUGCUGGUGCGAUUUUGUUCUGGUUGAGGAUGAAUCACAGUCAUCAUCAUUCUUCCAUCCACAAAGAACAGGAAGGAGACAGAAGGUGGUCCAUAACAAAGAUGCAGCAUCUUCAGUGUUGGAUGUCUUCCCUUGCUUCCUUGAUGUACCUGGUUGGAUUGACCAUGACUUCUCCAUGAUGUUUGGGGGAGGGGAAGUGGCCUUCAUAUUCAGGGUUUUCCCGUAAAUCCUUACAUGGUGGAGCUCCAGGCAGCUUUUGAUCCAGAGGCAGAGAAUGACUAUGGCUGGGAUGGUGAUAUCUCGGCUAUCCUGUUGCUGUUGCAUCUCCUGCCCCUCUCAGGAGGCCGCAAAAAAACAGCCAAGAUCAGCAAAGCACAGGCCACCAACCAUCUUGUGAGAUUUGUUAAAACUACAGGAAGGAGCCAGCCUCACUACAUUUUUGGACAAAGUUGAUGCAAGACAGCCCUUUCUUCUCUGCAUUGGUGAGCAAAAGAAGAAAAUCCUAAGAUUCUUCAUUGACAAUACAGUAAUCCCAUGUGGUGCUCAGACAUCAGUUGCAGCUUUUGAUGUGUUAUUCAGAGCUCACUGUGUCUUCAGCCUCUCUUACGAUGAAGCUCUUUUCAGUUUCACAUUUUUAUUCAAACUAAAGUUUAUCACAUUGAUGUUGGAAAGGCAAAAAAGAGCCUAAAAGUCAAGGAAUUAAUUUAUUUUUUUUUUCAUCAAAUUAGUUUUUUUGCGGUCUGUAAAAAAUCAUAAAAUUCUUACUAAAUCUCUAGUCAAGCAACACCAGCGUCAUAGUAAUUUACUAUGAAAAUUAUUAUUUUAAAAGAUUUUAGGUUGGUCCAGUAAAAAUCCAAACCAUAGAUGAUUUGGAAGGUGGAGAUUUAGUCUGUCAGAAGUUACAUUUGGAUGCAUGUACAGAUGUUUUAACCACAAGUUUGAUCAGAAAUUAUGGGACAGAGUAUCAGAUUGAUCUAUUUUUAUGCAUUGAAACAUAUGACCUACCCAUGUUUAAAAAAUUCUGUAAUAUUAUUAUACAUGGACAGUGUGCUUUCAUUUAAGGAUGUAGGGUUGAUACACUUUACUUUGAUGAACACUUUCAUGCAUGCUGUACAGAGGAGCAGACCGAUGAGUUGACUGCGAUAUGCACUGACAAGCUUGCUUUUUUUUAGACCAUUUGAUAAACAAUAUUCUAAUGAAAACGAGAGAGCAUACAUUGUUGCACACUGUUACAUGUUUUCCAAUGUUUAAAUUAA